rnacentral:lncRNA from 1 species
AUUUGUUUUUACAGGGCAUCAGAUUCCACUGCAGACACACUUCCUUGACUUGGAUAUCUGUCAGCUGAUAGACUACAAUUGGUGAAGACAGAGCUGCUUUUUUAGCUAUGAUGGGAAAGUUGAAGAAACUAGAUAAACUCACAGCCAUCCUAUUUUAGAUGGAAAACUUUCUGGUUUUCUGAAUUGUCAAAAGCAGAAAGCUAAGUGAAAAGUGCUAAAGCUUUGUGCAUGUGCUGGCUGAUAUACCUGUAACACCACAAAGGAAACAUACAAGGAAGAAAGCACAACUCCAAAACCCUUAUCUCACUUUGAAGAGUAACCUGAAUUGUGAAACCACAGUUUUGGAAUGCCACUGCUGACCAAGGACCAGCUGUACAAGAUUUCUGUUACAGUAUAAGAAGACAUAAGGGUUUUGAUUCACAGCCCGUCCUGUAUUAGUUCAUUUGAAUGACACAUGAUGAUUUAGCAGAAAAUAGAAAAUGAAAGCAGAAACUACAAAUUAUUUCUGAAAAUUUUUGCUGUGAAAUCACAUACAAAUAAGAAGGAAGAAUGUACCAAUUAUAUAGAAAUGGGAUGUUUCUUUUCUACUUCAUAUCUUAUUUUUAGGGUGGGGAUGAGCCACUCGGUUAAUGCAAGACACUAAUCCUGAUGUCACAGUGUCAUAUACAGAGAGGAGAGACUGCUUAUUUCAAACCUGCUGGAAUACAAGGACAGAACAGGGACAGGGAAAUACGGACAAAUCAUAGAUUCCAAAUCAUGUUCUGAAAUCUGCAGUGAGAAGAUACUGUUGGGAAGGCCUUGGAGAAGGAAAAAAAAUUAUGUUUUGCUAGUAGAGAACUAAAACAAGAGGCGCCACAUUGAUGCAAGCAAGCACCUGAGCUUUCCUGUAUCAGUUCCAUGUCCUUUUUCUUCAGCAUGCCUUUCCUCUGCUGUAACAGAGAGCAGAGGAAAAUCUCUUUGGCAAAGGGGGUCCAAGAGAUUGCUUUCUUCCACAAGAUGGGUGCAGCAAAACUCUGCUGUGGGAACCAGGCCAUCUUUAAGAGCUUCCGUGGAUGGAAGAAAGUUCCAACACUAGGACCUUGUUGUACCCCGAAGUUUCUAGAGAACUUGAAAUUUCCUAGGUCCAGAUGUGAAGAGAAGCAAGACAUUUCUACUUCUACCCUUUUGCUAAAGCAAGCAGAGUUAAAGGAAUUCCAUAAAGACUCAGAAAAGUGUCUUGGUUUGAUAUUGGUCAAAUGCCAGGCAUGUAUGGAAUUUGUUUG